UUUCCUUAAUUUAUUCAUUAUUUAGAACCUGAUUUUGCUAUUCAAAACAGUAAUCCGUAUCUUCCAUUAUAUAUCAAAACUCAAGUGUAUAGCAGUAAGCAGGAUAGAGCAGAGCAUGUUAUUUAUUACAGUUUUGGAUUGAUCUACCAUUGACAUCGUUAAAUUUGAAAUCAGAAAUUCAAUUUAGAAAUGGUUCAUACUUAAAUGCAUCCCAAACUGUUUAUUUUAAAACUUAAUUAGAAUUAAAUUUAUAAUACACUUUAGAUGUUAUAAAUAUGUUCUGAUAACAAUACUAUAUUAAAAUAAUGUGAUCCUAUCAUCCUUUAAUUCUAUUGAUUUGGUUCGAAUCAAGUACCAUAUAAAUAAGGUCGUGGCAUUUUAAUCAACACUAAUAACCAGAAAACAGCAGAUCACGUCACAAACGGGAUAAAAAUCACAGUGAUACUUUACUAAUAAUUAAAUAAACUAUUUACCUAGAAUAUAAUUAUAAAACAUCCUUUGGAUCUAAAUGAUAAUGCAUUCUAAUAUAUAUGGAUAGAAGUCCCUUAGAAAAAAAUCGUCCUACAAUAUGUGCAAUAGUCCUGUUGAUAGCAUAUACCACAAUUUUCUUCAGAACAUGGAAGCUACAAGAGGGACCUAGAACAUGAGCUUCUCAGUUUGACUCAAGAAAGAGGGUAAAAACAGAUACAGUACCAAGUCUGCAACUUCCUACUUCCACUGUUCCUAAGACUUAGGAUCAAUGUAAUAAAAAGUUCCCGAAAAAUCAUAAUGAAUAGGUGAACACCAUGGAGAUUUUGUUUCACCUUGUUGCCGGGGCAAAUGUGGGGGCAAACCAAACAAAUGGUGACCAAUUUAUUCAUAAAGGACCCGAAGCAAAAGAAUAAGGAUGUUAGGAUACAGACAGAAUAUUCCCUUUUUCUGGAAAAUACUGAUACUCAAACCAGUAUUUAAGAAAACGAAAGCAGAUCUAUCUAAACAAAAACUAAAGGUAAACAUUCUCACAAAGAAACACGAGCGACUUGAAGCGAAGGAAAAAAACUAAUGCAAAAUUGAAAAGACUCUUCAUGACAUGAAACAUGUACUCCAGCUCAGACUAAGAGAGUUUUGACACCUAAUCAAAAAUUGGCUCAUUACUCAAACGAAGAUAUUGUUACUGCCUUGAUAAUAAGAUUAAUGAGUAGACCUGCUUUUGAAUAUUUGACACAGAAGAAAAUCAUGCAAAUGUCAAGCAUUUGAACUCAAGAGAGAUGGCUUAAACAGUUUAAAAUGAAUCCAGGAUUUCAAGAGGAUAGCAUCAAAGUCCUUCAAGAAAUGAUCAAGACCAAAACAUUUCAAUACAAGUUUUCUGUUCUAUGCUUUGAUGAAUGUCAAAUUAAGAAAAAAUAUAUAAUUGACAUGAAGACACUAAGAGUUAUGGGCCUCACUCUAAAGUUCAAGUUGUUAUUAUGAGAUGAUUAGUUGAAAAAUGGAAACAGCCAAUCUGGUUCCAUUUUGAUACCAGAUUGGCCAAGAAGCCGCUUGAUAAUAUUUAUAAUCAAAAUGGAGAUAAAUAGUUUUGAAAUAAUAGCAAUUGUUUGUGAUCUUGGGAACCACACGCUUCGUUCUGAACUUGGAAUUGACUAAGGAAACUUUUUCUUCACCAAUCCAUUUGAUUCCAUCAGAGGUGUCUACAUUUCCCCUGAUUUUUCAUCUUCUCAAGCUCUGUAGGAAUCAUUUACUUGACAACAGGUUUAUGGUUCUUACAGAGGAUGGAACAUUAGUAUCUCUUGUUAAGACUGAUUUUCUGGAAUUAUUGAGGAAAGAUUCCGGGAAAUUUAAAAUUGUUUUUAAGCUUCAACCUCUUCACAUUUACUGCAAUGGAGGAACGUGUAAGAUUGGCCGCACAAAUUUUGAGUUAUACAGUAGCCAAAGCUUUCACCAUUCAUACCUAAAGUAGAGAAGCAAGAGCUACUCCUUAUGACUUAACAAAUAACAUUAAAUAAUACCUCAUUUCAAUACCAAUACUACCCCUCAAUCAAUUAAUUCUUAUUUAAUAUUUACUAAUAAGUAAUUAUUAAUUACUCUCAGUUUUCUUUUUCUUUUCAAAUGGUAGUCCAGUAGAAAUAAUCAACAAUUGGUUUGAUGUCCAGAACUAAUCAAGAUUGCUUGAAUUUUUUUUACUCGUUUGAGAAGUGUUGAUGGUGAUGAUGAUCACCCUGGAGAUGUUGGAGUUAUGAAAGAAUAAUAAUUCUGGAAAUGGGGAAAAAUUGUGAAAUUUUGUUGAGCAAUCCGGCUGUUCAGAUUGAAAGAAUAUCACAUUUAUAGAAUUGAGGAUGAAGAGGAAAAAUAAUCCGUAACAAAGAAAAUCACUGGAGACAUCUUAGAUUCACAAUAGGUGAAGAAAGUUGUUCAGAAUUUGAAUUGCAAAAUGCACAAUUAGAAUUUAAUACUGGAGGGAGUGAAAAAAUAAGAGGAAAAAAGCAAAUCGGCCCAUUUCAAGUUUAAUUAUGAUUUAACCAAAUAUUCAAUAUAAUAUUAAUUAUCACCAAAUGGAUUAUUUUAUAUAUUUAUAGUCUAGGACUAUAUACAUAUUCAUGUAGUCCAACUUGCCUUGACAUUAUCUAUAUUAUUAUAUAUUAAACGUAAA
rnacentral:lncRNA from 1 species